rnacentral:lncRNA from 1 species
UGGGUCCUGAUUUUCAAAAGUAUCUUGAGACUUAACAUUUACUAAAUAAACUCAUUGCAUAGACAUGUGUACCAGACCAGAAGUUUCGUCUACAAAAAAUCAUCAGUGACGCUCGAAUAAAAAAAAUAAAAACACUUUUAAUUAUAUGGCCUUAGGAUGUUUUAAAAAGUGUAUUACUUAUAAUUUUGAGUUAUCCUAAAAUGCACUGCACAGUAAGGACUAUGUUUUAAAAAAAUGAAAACAACACGUUUAAUAAUUUCUUGUGUAUGAAGCACUUUUCUGGAUUUACCUUCAUUAGGAACUCUCAAAGCCAAACAUUUGAAAUCCGAAGAUGUACAAGUAC